rnacentral:misc_RNA from 1 species
AACGCACAUUGCGCCCGCCGGUAUUCCGGCGGGCAUGCCUGUCCGAGCGUCGUUUCGACCCUCGCGCCCCCCGCGGGCGCGGCGUUGGGAGACACGCAGCCCCCGCGCGGCGUGCUCCUCAAAUCCAUCGGCGGUCCCGCCCGGCGGCUCCCUGCGCAGUAGUCUACUCCUCGCAGCGGGCCCCGGACGGCCGACUCGCCGCCCCCCCGCCCGCAGCACCCGCUGCGCGGCACGCUACGUCGACCUCGGAUCAGGUAGGGAUACCCGCUGAACUUAA